GAUUGUCUCUUGUCUGGGAGAGUGCGAGACCCUGAGAGAUAACAUAAUUUUCAGGCAGCAGAGAACACAGUGUCCCAAACCCUAACCUCCUAUCUCAAGUUCUCUGGCCCUGUGACGUCCACACCUUAGAUAGCACAUCAUCUGCUCAGGGAAUGAACCUUCAGCAUGCGCAGGAGUUGGCGCCAGCAUCAGCCGAUGCACUAUGGCAUCGCCAUGCCUGCAACAGACGUUGUUUACAGCGAGUUGUUUUGAGUGGAGUGUGUAUCCGACUCUAGUGAGUGCAGGUGCUUGUGGAGUCCCAGAAGGAGGAGGAGGUGGAGGAAGAGGAGGAGGAGGAAGAGGAGGAGAGCCAGUGAAUAAAAGUUACUCUGUCUUCCUUAAACAUCUUCAAGGUCUCUGGGAAGGAAUAAAUUCCCAAGGGAGAAAGUUUCCUGGGAGAAAAUCGGCCUGGCGCUGGACUGGGGUGACAUCUGCUAAGUUGACGCCUGGUUUCCCUGCUCGUUGUUCCUUUUUCCUAUGCAUAUACCUCUUUGAGACGUAGCAUUAAAGAGGCAUAGGGCAUGGGAAAAUGGGGCUGCAGAGGUAUUCCACUGGGUUUUUCUCUGAAACCUCAUCUACAGAGAAAGGGUUACGCAAACAUGCUUUCUUAAAUGCUUUCAUGAUCUGUCACUCUCUUCAAAGUAGUAGCUAACUCUUAGCAGCAUGAUUGUUUUUAUUUGCUACAUGGGAUGCUGUGAAGAAACAGUGAUGGUGUGAUCUUGUGAAGUGCAGAGUGAGAAUUGAAACUCAGUAAGCAAUGUGCCGCCUGCCUGUAAUUUAAUAAAGAAAGUGAAUUGAAAAGCA